CCUACGGGUGGCAGCAGUGGGGAAUAUUGCACAAUGGGCGCAAGCCUGAUGCAGCCAUGCCGCGUGUGUGAAGAAGGCCUUCGGGUUGUAAAGCACUUUCAGCGGGGAGGAAGGCGGUGAGGUUAAUAACCUCAUCGAUUGACGUUACCCGCAGAAGAAGCACCGGCUAACUCCGUGCCAGCAGCCGCGGUAAUACGGAGGGUGCAAGCGUUAAUCGGAAUUACUGGGCGUAAAGCGCACGCAGGCGGUCUGUCAAGUCGGAUGUGAAAUCCCCGGGCCCAACCUGGGAACUGCAUUCGAAACUGGCAGGCUAGAGUCUUGUAGAGGGGGGUAGAAUUCCAGGUGUAGCGGUGAAAUGCGUAGAGAUCUGGAGGAAUACCGGUGGCGAAGGCGGCCCCCUGGACAAAGACUGACGCUCAGGUGCGAAAGCGUGGGGAGCAAACAGGAUUAGAUACCCGGGUAGUC
rnacentral:rRNA from 1 species